rnacentral:lncRNA from 1 species
CAUGGUUUUCUCUGGCUAUAUGCCCAGGAGUGGGAUUGCUGGAUCAUAUGGUAAUUCUAUUUUUAGUUUUUUGAGGACUCUCCAUACUGUUUUCCAUAGUGGUUGCGCCAAUUUACAUUGCCACCAACAGUGUAAUAGGGUUCUCUUUUCUCUAUACCCUUUCCAGAAUUUAUUGUUUGUAGACUUUUUAAUAAUGGCCAUUCUGGUUUGUAUCUCAUAGCAGUUUUGAUUUGCAUUUCUCUAUGUCAGGAAACAAGAAAAAUUUCAAAUAAACAACCUAACUUUACACCUAAAGCAACUAGAGAAAGAAUAGACAAAACUCAAAGUUAGUAGAAGGAAAGAAAUCAUAAAGUCAGAGCAGAAAUAAAUGAAAUAGAAAUGAAGAAAACCAUAGAAAAUAUCAAUGAAAACUAAAAGCUGGUUCUUUUAAAAGAUCAACAAAAUUGAUAAACCCUUAGCCAGACUCAUGAAAGAAAAAAAAAAAAAGAGAGAGAGGAACUCAAAUCGAUAAAAUUAGAAAUGAAAAAGGAGAAGUUACCAUGGACAUCACAGAAAUACAAAGGAUCGUGAGACUACCACAAGCAACUAUAUGCUAAUAAAAUGGACAACCUAGAAGAAAUGGACAAAUUCUUAGAAAAGUACAAUCAUCCAAGACUAAACCAAGAUGAAAUAGACCAAUCACAAGUAUUGAAAUUGAAACUGUGAUUUAAAAACUUCCAGCAAACGAAAGUCCAGGACCAGAUGGGUUCCCAGGCAAAUUCUAUCAAAAUUUUAGAGAAGAGUUAAUACCUGUCCUUCUGAAACUAUUCUAAAAAUUGCGGAAGAAGGAACACUCCCAAACUCAUUCUAUGAGGCAACUAUCACUCUGCUACCAAAACCAGAUAAAGAUACCACAGAAAAAAAAAUUACAGAUCAAUAUCACUGAUGAACAUAGAUGCAAAAAUCCUCAACAAAAUGCUAGCAAACCUAAUCCAGCAAUAUAUUAAAAGGAUUAGGAGUUCCUAUCAUGGCUUAGCAGUAAUGAACCCAACUAAUAUCCAUGAGGACAGGGGUUUGAUCCCUGGCCUCGAUCAGCGGGUUAAGAAUCCAGUGUUGCCGUGAGCUGUGGUGUAGUUCACAGACAUGGCUCAGAUCCUGCGUUUCUGUGGCCGUGGGGUAGGCUGGUAGCUGCAGUUCCAUUCAACCCCUAGCCUGGGGGUUGAAUGGAAUAUAACUUCCAUAUAUUGCAGGUACAGCCUUGAAAAAUCAAACAAAACAACAACAACAACAAUAACAACAAAAAGGAUCAUACAUCAAGGGGAAUUUAUCCCAGGGAUGCAAAGAUUUUUCAAAAUCUGAAAAUCAAUCAGUGUGAUACACCACAUUAACAAACUGAAGAAUAAAAACCAUGGGAUCCUCUCAGUAGAUGCAGAAAAGCUGUUGACAAAAUCCAACAGCCCUUUCUGAUAAAAAGCCUCUAGGAAGUUCCUGUUGAGACUCAACAGUAAUGAAUCUGACUAGCAUACUUGAGGAUACAGGUUUGAUCCCUGGCCUUGCUCAGUGGAUUAAGGAUCUGGCAUUGCCAUGAACUGCAGUGUAGGUUUCAGACAUGACCCCAAUCUGGCAUGCUGUGGCUGUGGCAUAGGCAGCAGCUAAAGCUCCAAUUCAACCCCUAGCCUGGGAAAUUCCAUAUGCUGCAUUUGUUGCCCUAAAAAGACAAAAAAACAAAAAACAAAAAGUGAGCAUAGAGGGAACCUACCUCAACAUAAUAAAGGCCAUAUGUGACAAACUCAGAACUAAUAUCAUUCAAAGGUAAAAAGCUGAAAGAAUUUCUACUGAGAUCAGGAACAAGACAAGGAUGUGUGCUCUCGCCACGUCUAUUCAACAUAGUUUUGGAAGUCCUAAUCAUGGCAAUCAGAGAAGAAAAAGAAAAGGAAUCCAAAUUGGAAAGGAAGAAGUACAAUUAUCACUGUUUGCAGAUAACAUGAUACUAUACCUAGAAAAUCCUUAAGAUGCUGCCAGAAAAAUGUAGAGCUCAUCAAUGAAUUUGAUAAAGUUGCAGGAUACAAAAUUAAUACACAGAAAUCAACUGCAUUCCUAUAUACUAAUAAUGAAAGCUCAGAAAGAGAAAUUAGAGAAGCAACUCCAUUUACCUUUGCAUCAAAAAAAAAAAAAAAACCCUAGAAAUAAACCUACCUAAAGUAACAAAAGACCUGUACUCUGAAAACAAUGACACUGAUGAAAGAAAUCGGUGACACAAACAGAUGGAAAGAUAUGCCAUGCUCUUAGAUUGAAAGAAUCAAUAUUGUCAAAAUGACUGUACUACCCAAGGCAAUCUACAGAUUCAAUGCAAUCAUAUCAAAUGACCAAUGGAAUUUUCACAGAACAAGAACAAAAUAUUUUAAAAUUUGUUUGGAAACACAAAAUACCCUGAAUAGCCAAAGCAAUCCUGAGAAAAGCGAAGCUGGAGGAAGCAGGCUCCCUAACUUGAGACUAUACUACAAAGCUACAAUCAUCAAAACAGUAUGGUGCUGGCACAAAAACAGAAGUAUUGAUCAAUGGAACAGGAUAGAAAGUCUUUUUUUUCUUUUAACAGCCACAUCUGUGGCAUAUGGAAGUUCCUGGACUGGGGUGGAGUUGGAACUGCAACUGGUGUCUAUGCCACAGCCACAACACCACCAGAUCUGAGCUAAAACUGUGACCUAUGCCACAUCUUGGAGCAAUGCUGGAUCUUUAACCUACUGAGGGAUCAAAUCUGCAUCCUCAGAGAGACAACAUCGUGUCCUUAACCCACUGAGCCACAAUAGGAAUUCUUCAGGCUUCUUUACAUGGUGUCUGAGUUCCAAAAGCAGUGAGAGUAAAGGUAAAUCCCAGUGCAUAAGCAUUUUGCAAGCCUCCCUCAGCCUCAUGUUUGCUAAAGACUCAUUGAUCAAGAGAAGUCACAGACCAGAGCUAGAUUCAGGGAGUAGACUCCUGCUGUUCUUGGGAGAAGCUGCAAAACAUUGCAGUCAUCGGUUUGCAAUCAACCACAAGGGCAUCACCUGAAAAUAAAUUAUUAACUUCUUUCUCUGCUCUCUCCACCCUCAAUACUAUGUCAGUUGAUCAUAUACAGUAGAAUUUAAGAAGUAUAAGUACAUAUAAGAUGAAUGAUUAUGCUAGCAUUAGUCUGUUAACCCUUCCUCUCAAAGGUAUUGAUGAAACUUCUAAGACUUGGUUAUCUUAUUUCUCCUGGUUUGGUCUAAACAGUUUUAUAUUCUCACUUAGAAUUCUGUGUCAUCCUCUGAUUCCUUUCUACAUCCUAUAAUGAUCCAACCUGGAUUGGUCACUUCAUCUUAUCUCAGGUCUCAAGUAUGUCACCUAUAACUGCUCACAAAGUUUAGGCACUCUAAAUUCUACAUUUGUACUGCUUUAGUGAUUUCGGUUCCUGCCUUAUAUUCCAUAGGAUCCUCACACUAUGAAGGUUCUGGAGAUGUGAAUUCUUCAUGUGUUCAUUAAAAUGUCUGUAAAUAUCUUCUAGAAAUUGAUCUUUAUGACAAUGAUGUAAGUAAUUUAAUGGACCAGUUAUAGGUUAAGUGUUGCUUUAAAUACUUUUCCCUUUUAGAACUUGGUAAAGCUUCUUUUCUUCACAAUAAGGUGUUUUGCUUCUAAAGCAUUUGGAAUUAAAAACUCUCCACUUGCCACCUUAUUCAUGGAUUUCGCUACUAAACAUUUCAUACCCAUUUCCAUAACAAUUAUCCUGCUUGCUGAGUGUGUCAGAAUAGAAUUUGGUGACUUCAAGAGUUUCAGAAAGACCCUGUCUGCUCGGGCCCCCUCGUCUCUUAUGACUCACCCCCUUGUUUGCUGACCUUCUGUCUCCAGGGCCAUUGUACACAUGAUUCUGUGACUACACCUCUUGUCUCAACUAUUUCCAUGACUGGUUUCCUCUUAUCAGUUUAAAUGUCACCUCCUAGGAGAGAUCUUUUGUUCGUUUGUUUGUUUUAAAUAGUUUUAUUGAGAAAAAAUUACAUUCCAUAAAUUCAUCCAUUGAAAAUGUACAAUACAGUGGGUUUUUUUUUUUUUUUUUUUUUGUCUUUUUGCUAUUUCUUUGGGCCACUCCCGCGGCAUAUGGAGGUUCCCAGGCUAGGGGUCGAAUCGGAGCUGUAGCCACUGGCCUACACCACAGCUCACAGCAACGCCGGAUCCUUAACCCACUGAGCAAGGGCAGGGACCGAACCCGCAACCUCAUGGUUCCUAGUCGGAUUCAUUAACCACUGCGCCACGACGGGAACUCCAAUACAGUGGUUUUAAUAUAUUUAUAGAGUUUUGUAGCCAUCACCAUAAUCUAAUGUUAGAACAUUUUCUUCAUUGCUAGAAAGAAAUUUUAGCAGCCACUCACCAUUUCCCAUCCUUACCUCCAAUCCUAGGCAACCACUAAUAAAACUUCUGCCUCUAUAGAUUUGUCUAUUCUGGAAGUUUCAUAUAAAUGAAAUAACACAAUAUGUUAUUUUAUGACUGGCUUUUUUUCACAUAGCAUAAAUCUUUCAAGGUGCAUCCAUGUUGUAGUAUAUAUUAGCUUUUCCUUCCUUCUUAUGGUGAAAUAAUAUUCCAUUAAAUGGGUAUACAUACCCACUUUUUGUUUCUCAUUCAUUAGUUGAUAGACAUUGAAAUUUUUUCUACUUUUUGGCUGCUAUGAAUAAUGCUAUUAUGAACCUUCAUUUACAAGUUUUCAUGAGGACAUAUGUUUCAUUUCUCUUGGAUAAAUACCUAAGAGUGGGAUUAUGUGGUAACUCUAUUUUUAACUUUUCAAGGAACUUCCAGACUAUUUUCUAAAAGAGCUUUUUCUGACCAUCC